rnacentral:snRNA from 1 species
GAGGGAGGCUUAUCCAUUGCACUCUGGAUUGUUAACCUCUGUGAUUUCCUCAAAUGUUGGAAACUCCA